rnacentral:lncRNA from 1 species
GGUUAGUUGGCACGGGCCAGAGUGUGCUCCCAAUGAAGGAGUGGGCCAUGGGUUCUCCUGCAGCUCUGAUGAACCUCUGCUCUUCCAGGGCAGCCACCUCUCCUGACCCAGCUCCUCCAGCACAAUCUGGGGAUUAAACUUGUCCGACAGAAGAACAUAGCCGUAGAGAAGCGACACUUCUCCAUCCCUCUCAAAGCCAGCCGCAAGGUCACGUCGCAUCUCCCCAAAGUCAAGAAGAGGCCACUGAUGCUGGAAGUUCCUGCCGAGACCUUUCCUUGGAAACAGCUCCCAGCUGCAGUGGAAACUGCGAGAGAUGUGGCACCUCCAAGUCUGGCCCAGCCUCUGCACCCCGUCAGCUCCACAACCCCAGCACUGGAGGAAGGGGAAGGUGACUCCAGGCCUCCUCCUGGCCCAGCCGAGGAGAACAUUCCAUCCUUUUUCAUGACCCAGGUGGAGGAUGUGCCCAGACCCCUGCUGAGACCUGUGGCGGAGGGCAGGCUGGAGAAGAGGAGUGAGCAGAGGCAGGGAGGAAGGUCUCAGGUGGUUCCAGAGCAAUGCAAAGGCUACAAGGAGCCGCUCGGUGGAGAUUUUAUUGAGCCAGUUGGUGAGUGAAGGUGGCAGAGGGCUCCUGCUUAGAAAAGAUGAUGAGCACUAUGGUCCACUCUGACCAAGAAAGAAUUAUAGAAUGGUUAGAGUUGGAAGGGACCUUAAAGACCAGUGAGUUCCAACUCCCCUGCCCUGGGCAGGGACACCUCCCACUAGAGCAGGUUGCUCAAAGCCCCAUCCCAAAGACCCCCUCAAAGCUUUGAAGAAGCAAGCAGCAAAGGCUUUUGUUGUCCCAUUUUCCUUCUGGUUCACAGGGAUGCAGAAGAACGUGCAGGGGUUGUACGACAUCCUGAAGCCCCCCCGGGUUUACCGGGAUGCCAAGCCAGG